rnacentral:lncRNA from 1 species
GACGCAUUAAUACCACACGCACAUAAGAGCAUCGAGGCGGACUCUUCUGUCACAGCGAGAGACUGGGCGUGAAAAUGUUUAUCUGGGGCUUUGGGAUUAUCAAUGAGCAAAUUACCUCUGAUCCAGCAGAGGGUCUCAGGCAGACUGUGUGCUUCUGCCAGGCUCCCUCUCUAGGGCUUAUGGGAGGAUGGAAGAAAGCUGGGACACUUUAUUUUGAAGUAGCCUAUAUUCGUAAAGUCUCAUUAUUGAUUCUGGGUUUUCUUUUCUACUUGAUAUCAUGCCCCUCCCCUUUUUCUUUUGGAGUAGCAGAGUGAGUGUUUUGUUGGAGGCUGGUGGCUCACGCUGAAAGAGCCGGACUCCCAGGAGGAUUCCUCUCACUAGCAGCCCUUUCAUAGCUCAGCCCUGGGCGACUUUCCUCGAGCUGCACCCAUGACUCUCCAUACGCACACGCUGCAUGGAUAUGGACUCUAUUAUUUCUUGGCAUUGCUGACACUUUUCAUGUUGCAAGCCGACGGGCUGCAGUGUUAUGCUUGUAACAUUGUGCAUAACCAGAGGUAUGUGGACGUAGGCUGUUCCAGGCCCGAAAUCAUCACCUGCUCCCACUCCCACAAGGGCUUCAAGCAUCGCUUCUGCAUCAGAACUGAAAGUGUUGCUCUGGGAGUGAUGCUGACCAGCGGAUGCGCCACAGCUCGACACUGCCACACGGAGGAGCUACCGGGAGUGAACAUCCACUGCUGCGACUCUAAUCUAUGCAACAGCGCCACCAGCUGGCGGACAAACACACUGAUGCCUGUUUACUCAUUGACGUUUGCUCUGGUGCUGUACAAUGUGCUACUUUGGACGAAAUAACUGCGUGAGGAAAUAUAAAUCAAGCAAAUCAAAGAAGAAUCACGGCAGCUACGCUUCUGAUGCAAAGAGGAGACUUGGACAUAGUAUUAUAAACUCUUUGAAUACAGACAUUGGAGUAUUUUGUGUGGAUAAAAAGAACCUUCUUUAUGUGUUUCAUCUGAUCUUCAUGUUAAAGGAUAAUUUCUGGGAGCAAUCCUCAAAAUUUCUCUGUAAGUCUCAUAUGGAGUUUUUAUGGUCAACAAUAAAAACAUUGUUUUUUUUAAAAAAAUCUUUUGAUUAAUUUUAAUCAAAAGUAUUCAAUCAGCCAAAUAAUGUUUAAGUCUAUUCAUCGUUUAACUCAUUUUUUUAUUUGCAAUUUCUUUUAACCAGUGUGUUUAUUUUUGGUGGUGGUCCUGGAUGUACAAAGUAAUUUCUUAAAGGGAUAGUACUAAAAAUUAUGCUAAAAUGAAAACUUUGCCCUUAUUUACUCCUCACCAUGUUCCAAACCUGUUUGAGUUUCUUUCUUCUGUUGAGUACAAUGUGAGAUACACUACCUGAUAAAAGUCUUGUCACUGAUCCCAGAUGUAAGAGCAACAAAUGACUUCUAGUUAAUCAUUUGGAAAAGUGGCAGAGGGUAGAUUUUUCUGAUGAAUCAUUUGUUGAACUGCAUCCUAAUCAUCAAAAAAACCUAUUUGUACCUGCAUAGACCCAAUCUAUUCUCACAGAAAUGGUAAAAUAAGCAUAAUCUAGAGGCCUUUGCCUUUUAUAUAAGCCACUUCUGAUACCAAAUGAUCAACUAGAUGUCAAGUUAUUAAUUGUUGUUUCUAAAACUUAGAUAUUAGCAACAAGACAUUUGUCAGGUAGUGUACUGUAGGCUACUGAAGAAUGCUGGGGGAAAAGUAGCAUUUUUUUCCCCAUAGUAGGCCUAAUGUGUUUUGUGUUGAACGAUAUGUAAUUUUUUGGGUGAACUAUCCCUUUAAAUUAAUGCAGGUGUUCUGGUGGUGUAAUCAGGUUCAUCUGUGACUGUCAUCAAACAACCAAAAACCAGGAAAGUCUCAAUUUUCAAUAUUUCUAGAAAUAAUCUCACUGCUGUUUUAAAAUGCAAUUAUUUAGUACUUUAUAUUGUUUUUUUACUGUCUUCUGCUGCCCCUUUAAUGUUAUUUAAAUGUUUUAAGGUGUCUUGCUGAAUUUUGCGGGAAAAUUCAGGUUUAUAGCUUGUCUAAACGCACAAAAACAUACAGGCUAUCGAUUGAAUGCUGUUGAUUGUCAGCUUCCUCAAAUCUAACAAAUCUACAUGAGCAUUUAAUGACUUCUACGACAUUACAUAUGGUCAAAACAAUUUACUUCAACGUUGUAAAGUUAUGGGAAGCAACAGGGAACAACGCCAAUGAGCAGACCUGAAACUUACCUGCUCAUGACGUUUUUUUUUUUUUUUACAUGUUUUCCACACUUGUCAUCUAAAGAAGUCGUCUCCGCGCAUGCGUCUUAAAUUACACGCAUGUUCAUGUUAGGUCCGUGUAUCAUCCGUUCAUUUGAUUAUUCCUUUUAUUACGGAAAACGAAACAUCAGAAAAACGAUGAAUAUUUCGUUUUUCUGUUUAUUCUGUAGGCAGAAAAAACGGAAACUCAUCUGUUAUUCUGCUUAUUAACUUAAAACGAAAUAUUAAAACAAACACAAAACCAAAACGAAAUAAUGAGUCAAAAAAUGGUCCGUGUACGGUCCGUGUACAUUUUGUUCAUUUGUUUUCCAUUUUCAAACGGAAUAAAGGAAAUGGAGAAAACGGCCGUUUUUCCGUUUUUCUUUUGCUCACGAGAAAACGAAAAAACGAGAUUUUGGCUGGAUUUUCGUUUUUUGGUUUAGGGUAGGAAAACGGAUAAACGACUUUAAAAUUCAUUUUACACAUGUAGGCGGUGCUGAAACGCCCACUUUCCUCCAAUUGGUUAACCAAAUCUGCGCUCGUGACGUCACCCUCAAAAUAAAAGCCUUACACACAGGCUUUUAAUUAUUAUUAUUUAAUUAUAUAUUAACUAAGUUUACAUAUUCUAUCAUUUGAACCACACACAGUUAGC